rnacentral:rRNA from 1 species
GACAGAGGGUGCAAACGUUGUUCGGAAUUACUGGGCGUAAAGCGCGUGUAGGCGGUCUCAUAAGUCGGGUGUGAAAGCCCCGGGCUCAACCCGGGAAGUGCACUCGAAACUGCGAGGCUAGAGUAUCGGAGAGGUUGGUGGAAUUCUCGGUGUAGAGGUGAAAUUCGUAGAUAUCGAGAGGAACACCGGUGGCGAAGGCGGCCAACUGGACGAAUACUGACGCUGAGACUCGAAAGCGUGGGGAGCAAACAGG